UCUGCCAAGCGAAAUUGCACCAUCAAAGCGGUCUAACUUUAGUGGGUGGGGACGAGGGUGCUUCCUUAAACAGCCCGGAGAAGAGCGGAGAGAACCGGGUUAGGGGCGCGCUGCUUCUUCCUGGGCGGCGGCUGCUGUUGCUGCUGGUGUCGCCGUCGCCGCUACUGUUGCCCAGCCCAGCGCUUCUGGAUCUAUCGCCUAACACGUGGGGCUCUUUUUUUUUUUUUGCACGGCGGAAACUUUCGAGGGAUACUUGCUGCCAACUUAGACACACGCGCUCGGUGACAGCGGCGUGGGACUCUCGCCGUGGCUUUACGGGUGGUGGAAUCGCAGCUCCACACGCGGAUCCAGGCGCUCUUUUUCGGCCAGGGGUGUUUUUGUGUGUGUGUGUGUUUGUGUGUGUUCGUGCCUCUCUUGCCUUCUCCUGCUGUUGGAAUUCCGCCCUUCGUUGCUGACUUUCCGGGGCUCCCGCCGGUCACACACACACACCCCCACCGCCGCCGCUCCCUUUUUCCUUAGAGCAGUGGAAAAAAAAAUGUGGCCGGCGAGCCUUUUCCACGAAGCCGCUCUAGUUUUCCCGAGGGGCGGGAGCCUGCCCCCCCUCGCCCCCCCCCCCCAGUGCCUGCCGUACCUCCUCGUUUUUGUGCCGUCCAGUCUAACUCAUGAAGAUCUUGGCCAGGACUAGGGAGAACGAGCAAGUUCAAUCCACAGAAACGCGCCAGGGUUGCUGUCUGUCGUCCCCCCCGCCUUGACAGAAGGGCUCUGCUUCCAAGAAGCAUUUCUUGAGUGACAACUAUACAGAACAUUGCAACUUGUGUCCCUGCUGCAAAGUUUCAAUUGUGCAAUUUUAUACUAAAUUUCUCAACUGCUUUCAACACUUGGUGCUAUUCCCAAUCUGGUACAAAGAAUGGGGAAUUUCUCAGGUAGAUUUUUUUCACAUUUUUUUCCACUGGUUAAAAAAAAAAGGUUGUAAAGUGGGCACAAUUCACUUAACAACCACCUUGCUUAUCGAUGGAAAUUCUCUUCCCAUAAGGCAGGGACUAGCUGUAUUAGGUGGAUGAGGUUGGAAGAUUUGACACCUUUCGAUUAGCUGGAAAUGAUCUUCUUUAACCUUGAAGCCUCCUAGAUGACAUCAACUAUAGUCUACCUCAUCUCUGACUCGCAAUUGGGAAUGGUGAGACUUGUAGUCCAUUUGGAAGGCACCAACUGGGACAAGGUUGCCUAGACAGAUGAAUUCACCCUGAAGAGCUUUACAGAAGCUGGUCUCUAACCCAGUAUGAAUGGGGGUACCUUCAAUAACUAUCUCCAUCUUCAUCAACACCUUAAAACAGAUGUGCUGUAAAGGGCGGAAUAGAGAAAGGAAAAGAUAUUUGGAUAUUAAUGACAGUUGCUUAUUCUCUGGACAGUAUCCAGUCCUCUGAAAAGAUUUGGUGAAGAUUAAGUAAAAUAAAAUUGGUUGUUUCCAAGUUGUUCAGUCUUGGAUGUUAUUUACUAAUUGCUUUCUUCUUGGAUACAUACGAAAUAUUACGUGUCAUGACAAGGAGAGUAAUCACACCUAGCCCCAAUGAUGUCUUCAGGUAAUCAAUAUUUUGGUAAGCCAAGAUAAAGGCAUUGGUGGGGUUUUGUGUUUCUUUUGAGGGAGAAGUUUUGUGUGUGUGUUGCAAUUUUGGUGGGGAUCCACUGAGCCGAGUAUGACUACAAGGUUUCUAAAAAAUGGAUGGAAGGGAAGCUGUAACCCUGCUAUAU